UACGUGAAACUGCGAAUGCUCAUAAAUCAGUAUCGUUAUUUGAUAGUACCUUACUACUUGGAUAACCGUGGUAAUUCUAGAGCUAAUACAUGCUAAAAACCCCAACUUCGGAAGGGGUGUAUUAUUAGAUAAAAAACCAACGCCCUUUCGGGGCUUCUUGGUGAUUCAUGAUAACUUUACGGAUCGCAUGGCCUUGCGCCGGCGACGGUUCAUUCAAAUUUCUGCCCUAUCAACUUUCGAUGGUAAGGUAUUGGCUUACCAUGGUUUCAACGGGUAACGGGGAAUUAGGGUUCGAUUCCGGAGAGGGAGCCUGAGAAACGGCUACCACAUCCAAGGAAGGCAGCAGGCGCGCAAAUUACCCAAUCCCGACACGGGGAGGUAGUGACAAUAAAUACUGAUACAGGGCUCUUUUGGGUCUUGUAAUUGGAAUGAGUACAAUUUAAACCUCUUAACGAGGAACAAUUGGAGGGCAAGUCUGGUGCCAGCAGCCGCGGUAAUUCCAGCUCCAAUAGCGUAUAUUAAAGUUGUUGCAGUUAAAAAGCUCGUAGUUGAAACUUGGGUCUGGCUGGCAGGUCCGCCUCACCGCGUGUACUUGUCCGGCCGGGCCUUCCUUCUGGAGAACCUCAUGCCCUUCACUGGGCGUGUUGGGGACCAGGACUUUUACUUUGAAAAAAUUAGAGUGUUCAAAGCAGGCCUUUGCUCGAAUACGUUAGCAUGGAAUAAUAGAAUAGGACGUGCGGUCCUAUUUUGUUGGUUUCUAGGACCGCCGUAAUGAUUAAUAGGGACAGUCGGGGGCAUCAGUAUUCAAUUGUCAGAGGUGAAAUUCUUGGAUUUAUUGAAGACUAACUACUGCGAAAGCAUUUGCCAAGGAUGUUUUCAUUAAUCAGUGAACGAAAGUUAGGGGAUCGAAGACGAUCAGAUACCGUCGUAGUCUUAACCGUAAACUAUGCCGACUAGGGAUCGGGCGAUGUUCUUUUUCUGACUCGCUC
rnacentral:rRNA from 1 species